rnacentral:lncRNA from 1 species
UUUUGGGUUUGGGUAAAUUAAUCGGGCCUACUAUUGUAAUAAACUGGACAUUUAUUUGGUUUAUUUUUUUUGUUUUAAUUUGGUGUUUAUUUAUCUAUGAUUUUGGGCUCGAGCUAAAAUUGGGUAUUACAUAUACGAAUACAAAAAUAUUUUUUUUAUAGUGGGACUGCUUGACAUAUUGGUGGCAUCGGUGUUAUUUUUUUUAAGAAAAAGGGCUUGACAGGAAAAAAAGAGCAGGAAUAGAAAAAAAAUUAUAGUGGUGUCACCUAACACAUUGGCAGCACCAAUGGCUUUUUUUUUUAAAAAGGCCUAACAGAAAAAAAAAAGCUGAUGUGAG